GACCCAGCGCUGCGCGGAAUUCAGCGGCUCGGCGCUGCGAGGCUCUGAGAUUCUGUGACUCGGCGACCGACGGGGAUGCCGAGUUCCUGCAAGUCCCGGCUCCCUGCGGUGCCGGCGCCCGAGCCCGGGAAAAGGAGUUUUAUCAGAGGCUCCAAAAACCGUGAACAGGAGGGGGUCAGAUGCUCCACGCAGGUCAUGCUCAAAGAUGAUGAAUAGCCCUGAAGUGUCUGUAAGAAGAAGCAAAGAGAAUAAUCCAGAAAGGUGCAGCCCGAGGUCGUCCUUCCUUUUCAUAACCUGUAGCCCAAGGUGGAAAAGGAUGAGCACUUGAAGACUGGUUUCUCUCCUGUGGCUCUCGAGGAAGUCCUGUGAAAUAUUAAAAAUAUUGAAAAUAAAAGUUUUUAAAUAUAGAAAGUAAAUUUCCCCAGGAGGCUAGAAAGCCUGUAAUAGCAAAUUGUUUUCUGUGCUUAAAAAAAAAAAAAAAAAAAAAAGCUCUUAAAUAUGCUUAAAGCAGGGAUUAAAGGAAACACAUGCAGCCAACGCAGUAUAUAUUCUGUAUCUCUAUUUCCUUAGGCAUAUCUAUCUCCCUAUA